rnacentral:rRNA from 1 species
UGGCGGCGUGCCUAACACAUGCAAGUCGAGCGAGGAGAUCCUCGGGAUGAUCCUAGCGGCGGACGGGUGAGUAACACGUGGGCAACCUGCCUCAUAGAGAGGAAUAGCCUUCCGAAAGGGAGAUUAAUACCUCAUAACAUUGCAGUUUCGCAUGGAACAGCAAUUAAAGGAGUAAUCCGCUAUGAGAUGGGCCCGCGGCGCAUUAGCUAGUUGGUGAGGUAACGGCUCACCAAGGCGACGAUGCGUAGCCGACCUGAGAGGGUGAUCGGCCACAUUGGGACUGAGACACGGCCCAGACUCCUACGGGAGGCAGCAGUGGGGAAUAUUGCACAAUGGGGGAAACCCUGAUGCAAGCAACGCCGCGUGAGUGAUGACGGCCUUCGGGUUGUAAAGCUCUGUCUUCAGGGACGUAUAAUGACGGUACCUGAGGAGGAAGCCACGGCUAACUACGUGCCAGCCGCUGC